AUCAGUAUCUGCCGGGACCAGGGUGAUCAUGAAUGCCUUGGCCUCAGGUCGAGGCUCGCCUUUGCACUCUGGCGGGUUGAAGCCUGCGACGAUCCCUGAUCGGGAUCGCUCGGAAGCGCAGCUUUUGACGGUGGGGACGUCCUCGGACAGUUCCUG
rnacentral:snRNA from 1 species